UUCUCAGCGUGAGGCAGACCUAUAGGACUCUGUACUCCCCACCAGAAGAGCCUGAACGGAGAAGUUUGUACCAUUUAAGCCUUAAAGCCAUGGCCCAGAUGAGUUGGACUUGUUCCUCAGUCUUACAGUUACUGACAAGUGGCGCCCAAACAGGGACCUGAGUACGUGGGCUGUUGAGAGGGACCCCGGAAAUAUUUCACGCGCAGA